AGAGUUUGAUCAUGGCUCAGAUUGAACGCUGGCGGCACGCCUAACACAUGCAAGUCGAGCGCUACCUUUCGGUGGAGAGGCGGACAGGGGUUUAACACGUGUGGGAACACCCCCUUCUCUAGAAAAUACCCUGGGAAAAGUGAGAAUAACCUUAUACACCCUUUUCGGGAAAAAUAUUUCUCAAUUAAAGAAUGCCCCGUUAAAUAAUAUAUAUGUGGGGGGAUUGGGCCCCCCCGUCUCCAAUAUAUUUAUGGGUUUUGAGGGGAAUAUCCACCACUGUGGCAGAGACACAGCCCCCACACUCAUACGAGAGGCAACUGUGGAAACUUAUACAAUGGGGGCAAACCUGAUAUAUACCUGCCCCGUGAGUGAUAAAAGCCCCAUAGUCUCAUAAAUCUUUUUCCUGUGAGGAGAGUGGCAGUAUACUUGGAAAAAACCCCGGCUAUAUCUCUGUGACCACCCCCGCUAAUACAGAGAGGGUUAUCGUUGUUCUCAAUUACACGGCGUAUAGCGCACAUAUACGGAUUAUUAUAUUAUAGAUGUGAUCUCCUAGGUCUACCCCGUGACUGCGUCUAUAACAGUGAAUCUCGAGAUCUAGAGAGAUGAGUGUGAUACUCCGUGUGUAGAUGUAAUACUCAUAUAUAUGUAGA
rnacentral:rRNA from 1 species